rnacentral:rRNA from 1 species
ACGAACGCUGGCGGCAGGCCUAAUACAUGCAAGUCGAACGGCUCUUCGGAGCAGUGGCGGACGGGUGAGUAACGCGUGGGAAUGUGCCCUUUGGUACGGAACAACACAGGGAAACUUGUGCUAAUACCGUAUGUGCCCUUCGGGGGAAAGAUUUAUCGCCAUUGGAGCAGCCCGCGUUGGAUUAGGUAGUUGGUGAGGUAAAGGCUCACCAAGCCUACGAUCCAUAGCUGGUCUGAGAGGAUGACCAGCCACACUGGGACUGAGACACGGCCCAGACUCCUACGGGAGGCAGCAGUAGGGAAUCUUGCGCAAUGGGCGAAAGCCUGACGCAGCCAUGCCGCGUGUAUGAUGAAGGUCUUAGGAUUGUAAAAUACUUUCACCGGGGAAGAUAAUGACGGUACCCGGAGAAGAAGCCCCGGCUAACUUCGUGCCAGCCGCCGCCGUAAUAC